CUCCUCCUCGCAGCCGCUUUGUCAUUUCAAACACGCAACCUCGAGCAGAGUCGAGCAAGAGAGAGAGAGAGAGAGAGAGAGAGAGCUCCGCCUCGCCGCUCGAUCCAGUGUUUUGGUGGUGACUCGUCCGCUUUCUUCAUCGUGCUGCCCCGCUUCCUCCGCCUCCCUUCUGUUCCUGCCGGCGGGAUCUGUGGCAUCUCUCGGCCCCGCACUGACCCGUCCCCAUUUCCGCCGCUAGCGAUUUUGUUCGUCGGAUUCGGUUUUCCCCCCUCCCUUUUUGUUGUUCCUAUGAUGUGUUAGGUAGGGAGUUGGUUUUGUCUGUCAGCCCCCGCAGCUUUUCUCUGUGUAGAUUCAUUAGGUUGCGCCGUUUCUAGGAUGUGUUUGAUUGUUCUACUAAGCGCUGUAGCUGCGGUAGAUGGGAUGUGCGUCAGUUUGAUCUGCUGAUCUGUAAUUGAUUGGUUGUUGGAAUUCGAGCUGUUCAUGUGAGGCUGGCUUGCUUAGUUGUAGUAGUCUGGUGUAUUCAGUCAAUUCGAACGUAUGUAUUCUGUUCCCUGGCCUUUAAUCCCUAGACCAUUUCUCUUCACUGGUAUCGUUUAGUGGGUAUGUGGCUUACUCUGUAAUUCCUAUUUUUGAAUUUACAGUGAAUUACAGUGCAAUCCUCAUUGUUUUUUAGAGUGAUUUUCAGUGUAAUUCAUACUGGAUUUCAUUGAUUUUCACUGUAAUCUGUAGUGGAUUUCCAGUGUAAUUUUUUAGUGGAUAGGUAGUAUAUUUGUAGUGUAAAUCCAAAGCAGUUUGUAGUGUGAUCCCCGGUUAUUUUACAGUGUAAUUUCAGUGUAUUUUGUCAGUUGAUUUGCAUUGUAUUUGUUGGUGGAAUAACAAUGUAUAUGUCCUAAUUGCAGUGUACUUUUGUCACUGGGGUUGUACUGUAUUUGUUAGUGGAAUUAAAGUGUAUUUGUCAGUGAUGUACAGUGUAAUUUGAUAGCUGAUUUACAGUGUAAUUGCCAUGGAUUUGCAUUGUAUUCGCUAGUGGAAUUACAGUGUAAUUCACUUGAAUUUUUAUAGUGGUAUUACGUUUUGGAUUUAUAGUGUUUUUGUCAGUGAAUUUACCGUGUAAUUGAUAGCUGGUUUUACAAUGUAAAUUCAUUGUAAUUUACGCUGUAAUUGAGUAGCAGAUGAAUUGUGAGUGUUCUUUUUUUUAUCAGAAUUGUGACUGUUCUUGUGAUGCGUCGCUAGUUUGUAUGUUCUUGUGAUGCAUCUGAUUCCAGUGUAUUUUGUUAGAGGACUUAGACUGUAAUUAUAUUCGGAUUUACACUGUAAUCUUCAUCGGAAUUCCAGUGUAUUUUUCUUAGUGGGUGAUUAGAGUGUAUUUACAAUGUAAUUCUCAGUUGGUUUCCACUGUAAUUCGCGGGGGUUUUCUUCACUAUAAUUCUCAGUGGGUUAUGUAGUGAAAUAAAAGAGAUGUAGAUUGUAAAUGCUAUCAAUGCAUAUCUUCUUUAUAUUUUUGUUAUGUUUUAUCCCUUCUGCCAUUUCAUCUCAGACUUUUUGUCCUUUUCUUUGUGUUUGUACAUAUUUAGGUUAUAGAUUGAAGUAUGGGGAGACUCAUGAAGGCUUUUGGUAAGGGCACUUCUGCUGCUUGUGUUGAAGAUUGUGAUGAUUCAGAUGGGGAUCCUUUUGUCCCCAAUGAUUUUGCGGAAGGUGAUCCUUUUCAAGCUUCGGAGUUAACUGCAGGAAAGUCAAAUGGAUGAUCCUGAUUUCGACAAAGCUUUGUAUGAGUUCUACGUGUCUCGUAAAGUGAAUUGCUUAAAAUGGAAGAUUACAGAUGCUGGAGCUCGCAAUGUGGUAUUUUAUUUUGUUGUUGUUUAUAUUUCCUUUUUUUUCAUGCAACUUCUCUAUGAUAGAUAUGGAUAUAAGUUUUAGAUAACUCCUUUUGUAAUCUUCAUCAUAUCUAUUUUUUUGUGGAAUGGCUAUUGAUGCACAAGAACCUAGUUCCAUAUAGUUCUAGUUGUUGUUGCUAGAUGUCUUUCUUUUGUUUAUUUUUAGUGUAAUUUAUCUUGAUUUUUUCUUUUGUUUGUGUCUUGUUGUGUUGUAGAAGCGCAAGAGGUCUUCUGAUUUUUCCUGUAGCCAAUACAUUCACUAGAUACUCAAGUUGUUCUCCACUGUUUUUGGUGGCUUGUCUCCUAGGUAAGCCCGUGUUCUUCAGAGUUACAAGGCAAAUUGCCUUCUCAAAUUUGUGAGGACAGAGGUGCCUCUUAGGUUUGUCAAAUGGUUAGCGUCCAAAUUUGAUGUUCUUGCUUCAGAGAUUCAGAUUAGGAAGAAGUUUAUACCGAUUUCCAAAUAUGUCAUCCAUGACAUCUUAGAUCUUCCUGUUGAUGGUGAGCCCAUUGUGUCCGAUGUUGAGGCUGGGCAUGAGUUUAUCUUGUCCCAUUUCAAUGUGACUAGGGAUGUGUUUGGUUCGCGGGAUAGCUUUGAGUGGCUAUGGAUAUCACUAACCACCUGGCUAGAGAUAGCCAAUUUUUCUGUUUGGUUGGGUGAGAUGCCAAGUGG